AGCAGUCGCCGCGGUAAUACGUAGGUGGCAAGCGUUAUCCGGAAUUAUUGGGCGUAAAGCGCGCGUAGGCGGUUUUUUAAGUCUGAUGUGAAAGCCCACGGCUCAACCGUGGAGGGUCAUUGGAAACUGGAAAACUUGAGUGCAGAAGAGGAAAGUGGAAUUCCAUGUGUAGCGGUGAAAUGCGCAGAGAUAUGGAGGAACACCAGUGGCGAAGGCGACUUUCUGGUCUGUAACUGACGCUGAUGUGCGAAAGCGUGGGGAUCAAACAGGAUUAGAUACCCGCGUAGUCCCUGUCUCUUAUAC
rnacentral:rRNA from 1 species